rnacentral:rRNA from 1 species
AGUGAACGCUGGCGGUAGGCCUAACACAUGCAAGUCGAACGGCAGCACAUUAAGUUCUUGCUCUUACGGUUGGCGAGUGGCGUACGUUUCAUGUAUACAUCGGAAUCUACUUUUUCUUUUGUGUUAACGUAUGGUAACUUACGCUAAUACCUCAUACUACCUACUUUUUUAAUCAUUGGUUCUUCUGACCUUUCCCGUUUGAUUGAGCCGAUUUCGGAUUAGCUAGUUGGCGUGGUAAAGGCCCACCAAGGCGACGAUCCGUAGCUGGUCUGAGAGGAUGAUCAGCGACACUGGAACUGAGACACGGUACAGAGUCCUACGGGAGGAAGCAGUGGGGAAUAUUGGACAAUGGGCGAAAGCAUGAUACAGCAAAACCGCGUGGGUGAAGAAGGAGUUAGGGUUGUAAAGCACUUUUGUUGGGAAAGAAAAGAAGCAGGUUAAAACAAAGAUGUUAUGACGGUACCAAAAGAAUAAGCACCGGCUAACUACGUG